CGACCCUCGCGCCCGGCUUCUGUCGGGGGCGGUGUUGGGGAUCGGCCACACCCUUUACUGGGCGGCCGUCCCCUAAAUCCAGUGGCGACCACGCUGUAGCCUCCCCUGCGUAGUACUAAAACCACCUCGCAGGCGGAGAGCGGUGCGGCCCGCCGUAAAACCCCCCAACUUUUACAA
rnacentral:misc_RNA from 1 species